rnacentral:rRNA from 1 species
AUUUGGUCGUAGACCCGAAACCAGGUGAUCUACCCUUGGUCAGGUUGAAGUUCAGGUAACACUGAAUGGAGGACCGAACCGACUUACGUUGAAAAGUGAGCGGAUGAACUGAGGGUAGCGGAGAAAUUCCAAUCGAACCUGGAGAUAGCUGGUUCUCUCCGAAAUAGCUUUAGGGCUAGCCUCAAGUGAUGAUUAUUGGAGGUAGAGCACUGUUUGGACGAGGGGCCCCUCUCGGGUUACCGAAUUCAGACAAACUCCGAAUGCCAAUUAAUUUAACUUGGGAGUCAGAACAUGGGUGAUAAGGUCCGUGUUCGAAAGGGAAACAGCCCAGACCACCAGCUAAGGUCCCAAAAUAUAUGUUAAGUGGAAAAGGAUGUGGCGUUGCCCAGACAACUAGGAUGUUGGCUUAGAAGCAGCCAUCAUUUAAAGAGUGCGUAAUAGCUCACUAGUCGAGUGACACUGCGCCGAAAAUGUACCGGGGCUAAACAUAUUACCGAAGCUGUGGAUUGUCCUUUGGACAAUGGUAGGAGAGCGUUCUAAGGGCGUUGAAGCAUGAUCGUAAGGACAUGUGGAGCGCUUAGAAGUGAGAAUGCCGGUGUGAGUAGCGAAAGACGGGUGAGAAUCCCGUCCACCGAUUGACUAAGGUUUCCAGAGGAAGGCUCGUCCGCUCUGGGUUAGUCGGGUCCUAAGCUGAGGCCGACAGGCGUAGGCGAUGGAUAACAGGUUGAUAUUCCUGUACCACCUAUAAUCGUUUUAAUCGAUGGGGGGACGCAGUAGGAUAGGCGAAGCGUGCG